UUGGACCUGAUAUCAGGCAAGAUUACCCGCUGAACUUAAGCAUAUCAAUAAGCGGAGGAAAAGAAACUAACAAGGAUUCCCCUAGUAACGGCGAGUGAAGCGGGAAGAGCUCAAGCUUAAAAUCUCCGUGCAAGUUUUGCGCGGCGAAUUGUAGUCUAUAGAGGCGUGGUCAGCGUGGGCGCUUGGGGCA
rnacentral:rRNA from 1 species